UGGGGAAUUUUCCGCAAUGGGCGAAAGCCUGACGGAGCAACGCCGCGUGAGGGAGGAAGGUCUUUGGAUUGUAAACCUCUUUUCUCAAGGAAGAAGCCAGUGACGGUACUUGAGGAAUCAGCCUCGGCUAACUCCGUGCCAGCAGCCGCGGUAAUACGGAGGAGGCAAGCGUUAUCCGGAAUUAUUGGGCGUAAAGAGUCCGUAGGUGGCACGUCAAGUCUGCUGUCAAAGCAUGGAGCUUAACUCCAUAUCGGCGGUGGAAACUGAGGAGCUAGAGUCCGGUAGGGGUAGUGGGAAUUCCCAGUGUAGCGGUGAAAUGCGUAGAGAUUGGGAAGAACAUCGGUGGCGAAAGCGCACUACUGGGCCGGAACUGACACUGAGGGACGAAAGCUAGGGGAGC
rnacentral:rRNA from 1 species